rnacentral:rRNA from 1 species
GACGAACGCUGGCGGCGUGCCUAAUACAUGCAAGUCGAACGAGUGGCGGACGGGUGAGGAAUACAUCGGAAUCUACUCUGUCGUGGGGGAUAACGUAGGGCAACUUACGCUAAUCCCUCCUACGAUUGAAUGAGCCGAUGUCCGAUUAGCUAGUUGGCGGGGUAAAGGCCCACCAAGGCGACGAUCCGUAGCUGGUCUGAGUGGAUGAUCAGCCACACUGGAACUGGGACACGGUCCAGACUCCGAAGGGAGGCAGCAGUGGGGAAUAUUGGACAAUGGGCGCAAGCCUGAUCCAGCCAUACCGCGUGGGUGAAGAAGGCCUUCGGGUUGUAAAGCCCUUUUGUUGGGAAAGCGGUACCCAAAGAAUAAGCACCGGCUAACUUCGUGCCAGCCGCCGCGGUAAUAC